AUCACUCGUUUAUAUCGGAGAGAGAUCUCUUAUUUUCUUACCCUAGAAGUGAAGCUUGUGAAUAUCCAUCCCUUAUGAGUAGCAAUUAGAAAAGUUUGGGUAAAGAAAUAUAUGGUCCUCUAAAUUAAAAUCAAAGUAGUAUUUUAGUUCAAUCUGAUCAAGCAUACAAACUGAAGUUAGCAAGCAUAUUGGAGCAACAGGGAGACAAGGGAAUAUUGCCAGAAAAUGUGUCAAGUCCCAGUACCUGUUAACUUGCAUACAUAUGCGGCAUCCGUUCCGGUGUUUAAUGGCUCAAAUUUCACGGAAUGGAGCGAGCAUGUCAAGUUCAGUCUAGCCAUAAAUGACUUGGAUCGUUGUUUAACUGCCGAGAAACCUGCUGCGCUUACUGACACUAGCAGUGCUGAUGACAAAAGAAAUUUUGAUGUCUGGGAGAGGUAGAACAGAUUAAGCCUAAUGUUCAUUAGAAUGGCAAUUCUUCCAAACAUCGGGACAUCUAUCCCCGUUAUUGAUACUGCUGUAGAAUUGCUCAAAGAAAUUGAUGCGCGUUUUCGUGCAGCUGAUAAGUCCUUAGCUGGAACACUAAUGGCAAAACUCACUACCAUGAAAUAUGAUGGUUCAAGGAGUAUGCAGGAGCACAUUAUAGAAAUGACUAGCAUAGCAGCAAAACUAAAUGCCCUUGAUAUGACUGUGGCUGAAGGUUUCCUUGUUCGUUUUAUUUUGAAUUCCUUGCCUCCUCUGUAUGGUCCAUUCCAGAUAAAUUAUAAUUCUUUUAAAGAAAAAUGGAAUGUGAAUGAACUCUCGAAUAUGUUAGUUCAAGAGGAAGCAAGGCUUAAACAACAAGGAAAUUUUGUUGCUAAUGUUAUGUCUGAGAGUGCUCAUAAGAAAAAGUGGAAGCCUAAGAAAGGAUCUGCGUCUCAACCACCAAAAGUGGAAGGGCCUGUUGAUGCAUUAUAGGCUAAGAAGGAUAAAAGUUUUCCCUGCCACUUUUGCAAGAAGAAAGGACACUUUCAGAAUGAAUGCCUACAGCGUAAGGCAUGGUUCAAAAAGAAAGGGAUACCUUUCAAGCCGAAACCCAAAACCAACUGAACGUUUUCUUCUCAUGGGAAACCAUAGCCAGGCUGAAGUAAAAGCAAUAGGAACCUACCGUCUAUUUUUGCACACCGGACAGUACAUAGAUCUUUUUGAUACCCUUUUUGUACCUACAUUGUCUCGAAAUUUGAUAUCUUUAUCAAAGUUAAAUAUGUCUGGAUACUCUUUUGAACUUAAUAAUCAAUGUUUCAGCCUGUUUAAAAA